CACACCGCCCGUCACACCAUGGGAGUUGGUUUUACCUGAAGACGGUGCGCUAACCAGCAAUGGAAGCAGCCGGCCACGGUAGGGUCAGCGACUGGGGUG
rnacentral:rRNA from 1 species